UACAGAGGUCUCAAGCGUUGUUCGGAUUCAUUGGGCGUAAAGGGUGCGUAGGCGGCGCGGUAAGUCGGGUGUGAAAUCUCGGAGCUUAACUCCGAAACUGCAUUCGAUACUGCCGUGCUUGAGGACUGGAGAGGAGACUGGAAUUUACGGUGUAGCGGUGAAAUGCGUAGAUAUCGUAAGGAAGACCAGUGGCGAAGGCGGGUCUCUGGACAACACCUGACGCUGAGGCACGAAAGCGUGGGGAGCAAACAGG
rnacentral:rRNA from 1 species